rnacentral:rRNA from 2 species
CAACAGGGAUUGCCUCAGUAACGGCGAGUGAAGCGGCAACAGCUCAAAUUUGAAAUCUGGCUCUCGGGCCCGAGUUGUAAUUUGUAGAGGAUGCUUUUGGUGAGGUGCCUUCCGAGUUCCCUGGAACGGGACGCCACAGAGGGUGAGAGCCCCGUCUGGUUGGACACCGAGCCUCUGUAAAGCUCCUUCGACGAGUCGAGUAGUUUGGGAAUGCUGCUCUAAAUGGGAGGUAUAUGUCUUCUAAAGCUAAAUACCGGCCAGAGACCGAUAGCGCACAAGUAGAGUGAUCGAAAGAUGAAAAGAACUUUGAAAAGAGAGUUAAACAGUACGUGAAAUUGUUGAAAGGGAAGCGCUUGUGACCAGACUUGGGCUUGGUUGAUCAUCCGGGGUUCUCCCCGGUGCACUCUUCCGGCCCAGGCCAGCAUCAGUUCGCCCUGGGGGACAAAGGCAGCGGGAAUGUGGCUCUCUCCGGGGAGUGUUAU